UGUGCGUGUGUGUGGGUGUGUGGGAGUGGGAGCGUGCGUGUGUGUGCUGAACACUUCUGAUCACUUUGUGUGCUGCUCUGAGUCUCAACAAGAAAACCAGAACGGCCAGUGGGACCCCUACAACGGAUUCUGUGGUAGACCUGGACGAUCAAAAGGUGGAAAUGGAAAAACCUGGUACUGAGCACUGAUCAUGUUCUGCAGGAGACAUCUUGUUUUUAAAGAAUCAAAUUAAAAUGAACUAUUUCUUAAUAAAUGAUUUAAACAUA